AAGUCGAGCGAACAGAUAAGGAGCUUGCUCCUUUGACGUUAGCGGCGGACGGGUGAGUAACACGUGGGUAACCUACCUAUAAGACUGGGAUAACUUCGGGAAACCGGAGCUAAUACCGGAUAACAUUUGGAACCGCAUGGUUCUAAAGUGAAAGAUGGUUUUGCUAUCACUUAUAGAUGGACCCGCGCCGUAUUAGCUAGUUGGUAAGGUAACGGCUUACCAAGGCAACGAUACGUAGCCGACCUGAGAGGGUGAUCGGCCACACUGGAACUGAGACACGGUCCAGACUCCUACGGGAGGCAGCAGUAGGGAAUCUUCCGCAAUGGGCGAAAGCCUGACGGAGCAACGCCGCGUGAGUGAUGAAGGGUUUCGGCUCGUAAAACUCUGUUAUUAGGGAAGAACAAACGUGUAAGUAACUGUGCACGUCUUGACGGUACCUAAUCAGAAAGCCACGGCUAACUACGUGCCAGCAGCCGCGGUAAUACGUAGGUGGCAAGCGUUAUCCGGAAUUAUUGGGCGUAAAGCGCGCGUAGGCGGUUUCUUAAGUCUGAUGUGAAAGCCCACGGCUCAACCGUGGAGGGUCAUUGGAAACUGGGAAACUUGAGUGCAGAAGAGGAAAGUGGAAUUCCAUGUGUAGCGGUGAAAUGCGCAGAGAUAUGGAGGAACACCAGUGGCGAAGGCGACUUUCUGGUCUGUAACUGACGCUGAUGUGCGAAAGCGUGGGGAUCAAACAGGAUUAGAUACCCUGGUAGUCCACGCCGUAAACGAUGAGUGCUAAGUGUUAGGGGGUUUCCGCCCCUUAGUGCUGCAGCUAACGCAUUAAGCACUCCGCCUGGGGAGUACGACCGCAAGGUUGAAACUCAAAGGAAUUGACGGGGACCCGCACAAGCGGUGGAGCAUGUGGUUUAAUUCGAAGCAACGCGAAGAACCUUACCAAAUCUUGACAUCCUUUGAAAACUCUAGAGAUAGAGCCUUCCCCUUCGGGGGACAAAGUGACAGGUGGUGCAUGGUUGUCGUCAGCUCGUGUCGUGAGAUGUUGGGUUAAGUCCCGCAACGAGCGCAACCCUUAAGCUUAGUUGCCAUCAUUAAGUUGGGCACUCUAGGUUGACUGCCGGUGACAAACCGGAGGAAGGUGGGGAUGACGUCAAAUCAUCAUGCCCCUUAUGAUUUGGGCUACACACGUGCUACAAUGGACAAUACAAAGGGCAGCUAAACCGCGAGGUCAUGCAAAUCCCAUAAAGUUGUUCUCAGUUCGGAUUGUAGUCUGCAACUCGACUACAUGAAGCUGGAAUCGCUAGUAAUCGUAGAUCAGCAUGCUACGGUGAAUACGUUCCCGGGUCUUGUACACACCGCCCGUCACACCACGAGAGUUUGUAACACCCGAAGCCGGUGGAGUAACCAUUUAUGGAGCUAGCCGUCG
rnacentral:rRNA from 1 species